rnacentral:snoRNA from 1 species
CUUCUUGUGCCUUUGGGACCUGCUGGCUGUGGUAGUCUCUCUGUCUAGCUGUUGAAAAGCAUGUUCUUGCUUAUUGGCAAAGCUAUAUCAGAUUCUGUCUUGCACAAGUAACAUUC